ACGAACGCUGGCGGCGUGCCUAAUACAUGCAAGUCGAGCGGACGAUUCGAAAGCUUGCUUUUGAAUCGUUAGCGGCGGACGGGUGAGUAACACGUGGGCAACCUGCCCUGUAGACGGGGAUAACACCGAGAAAUCGGUGCUAAUACCGGAUAACACGAAAUGUCGCAUGACGUUUCGUUGAAAGGCGGCGCAAGCUGCCGCUACAGGAUGGGCCCGCGGCGCAUUAGCUAGUUGGGGAGGUAACGGCUCACCAAGGCGACGAUGCGUAGCCGACCUGAGAGGGUGAUCGGCCACACUGGGACUGAGACACGGCCCAGACUCCUACGGGAGGCAGCAGUAGGGAAUCUUCCGCAAUGGACGAAAGUCUGACGGAGCAACGCCGCGUGAGCGAAGAAGGCCUUCGGGUCGUAAAGCUCUGUUGUUAGGGAAGAACAAGUAACGUAGUAACUGACGUUACUAUGACGGUACCUAACGAGAAAGCCACGGCUAACUACGUG
rnacentral:rRNA from 1 species